UACAGAGGUGGCAAGCGUUGCUCGGUAUCACUGGGCUUAAAGGGCGCGUAGGCGGUGCGGUACGGUUUCGGUGAAAUCCCUCGGCCCAACCGAGGAACAGCCGGAGCUACGGCCGGACUAGACGGCAUCAGGGGACAGUGGAACUCCCGGUGGAGCGGUGAAAUGCGUAGAUAUCGGGAGGAACGCCGGUGGCGAAAGCGACUGUCUGGGGUGCCUGUGACGCUGAGGCGCGACAGCGUGGGGAGCGAACUGG
rnacentral:rRNA from 1 species